rnacentral:rRNA from 1 species
UACGAAGGGGGCGAGCGUUGUUCGGAUUUACUGGGCGUAAAGGGCGCGCAGGCGGUCUUGAAAGUCAGGCGUGAAAGCCCCGGGCUUAACCUGGGAAUUGCGCUUGAUACUCUGAGACUGGAGUACGGGAGAGGAGAGUGGAAUUCCCAGUGUAGAGGUGAAAUUCGUAGAUAUUGGAAAGAACACCAGUGGCGAAGGCGGGUCUCUGGGCCGAUACUGACGCUGAGGAGCGAAAGCGUGGGGAGCGAACAGG